AGGAGGGAAAGAAGGGGAGCAGGAGAGAGGAAAGGGAAUGGGAGGAGAGGGACGAAGGGAAAGAAAAAACCAACAUCAAAGUAAAAUGGUAACACAAGAAUAUUAACCACUGGUAAAUCCGGAUGAAAGGGAGAUGGGGUGUUCAGUGUACUAUUCUUCCAACUUUUCUGCAGGUUUGAAAAUUUAAAAAAAAAAGAAAAAAAA